GGGUAAAUCUUUUCAAGACACUAAAACAGGUGACUCAGCACUGUGAGCUCUGUGCCUGACACGACCCAAACGGCCAGCAAUUUUCUCCUUCUCCAGUUAAACCUGUCCAAAGUUGAGGAACCUAUCCAGUUUCAGCUCAGCUAGGGAUCUAGUCUUACUAAAGACGCGGGAGGAAGUUCUC
rnacentral:lncRNA from 1 species